rnacentral:tRNA from 1 species
GUGGGCGUAGCUCAGUUGGUUUAGAGCGCUGACCUGUGGAGUCAGAAGUCGGGAGUUCAAAUCUCCUCGCCCACCCCA